rnacentral:rRNA from 1 species
AAUAUUGGACAAUGGGGGAAACCCUGAUGCAGCGACGCCGCGUGAGCGAAGAAGGCCUUCGGGUCNUCAAGCUCUGUCCUUGGGGANGAAGGGCUUCGGCCUUGACGGUACCCAAGAAGAAAGCCCCGGCUAACUACGUGCCAGCAGCCGCGGUAAUACGUAGGGGGCGAGCGUUGUCCGGAAUUACUGGGCGUAAAGGGUGCGUAGGCGGCCCUUUAAGUCAGAUGUGAAAGGCCACGGCUUAACCGUGGAACUGCAUUUGAAACUGGAGGGCUUGAGUGUCGGAGAGGGUAGUGGAAUUCCCAGUGUAGCGGUGAAAUGCGUAGAUAUUGGGAGGAACACCAGUGGCGAAGGCGACUACCUGGACGAUAACUGACGCUGAGGCACGAAAGCUAGGGGAGCAAAC